GUUCUGUCGAUACGAGCUCCCAGUCGACAUGAGCUCCUUUUCAAUACUGCGCAUGCGCAACACCACGAAUCGCAUUUCCCGGGGGAUUGACCAUCGAUUUGAGCUACCGCAGUUUGAUACAAAGUUUGUAAUACAAACUCGAGAUGGAUGAGCAGGAGCAAUUAGCGCAAUUUCAAGUGUUUUGCCCCUGCAGCUGUGAAGAGGAUGCUGUGGAGGUGGCAACGUGAACGUGUCACACAGACAUUGGCUAAACUACUCGGCUUCUACACUUGCCCUCAGAGUUCACAUAUGGUGAAGUGCACAGGUGUCCAGCCAGGUCCAGACUGAUGAUGGUAACAAGAGGAAAACAUGCUGAUUGGCAAGUGAGAACCCUGCUCAACAAAAAUCCACACAGCAUAACAAGAAUGAUUCAACGAUGGACAUUGUGCUUAAUUGUGAAAAAAAAUAAAUGUCAAAACGUC